GGGAAGAAAUUACAUUAUUCAUGAAGUGGUCCCUUGCAGCUGUCUGGAGUUACCUCAGCUCAUCUCAUGGAUUUGUCAAUCGCUCGUUUUCAAUCAGUAGCAGCUAUUCACAGCAGCUCAUACACAAGCCAAGGAAGCACCACCAACAAAAUCACUUGUGAUCCGUAGGGAGCCACCAACAUGGCCAGCUCGCCACACUCACGUGAAUUCUGUUUCGGAUGUUGCAUGGCUGUGAAAUGAAACAUCUCAGCACCUCAACAAAAAGUAAGAAAAGAGAUGAAGGAUGUGACGUGAAUUGUACAGCAAUGCAAAGACAUAUGUCCAAAUACCCUCAUAUUUGGCUCCCUUUUCGGCAGAACACAGGGGAAAACAGCCAUGGUUUGGCCAUUACAAGAGGGAAAAUAUUCUCCACGACCACACUCGUGUGACAGACUUCAGUGCUCUCACUCCUGUGUUUUCCAUUGUAAUUCAGGUUUAUUCACACCUGAAGGAGGGCCAGACAUCUAAUGAAAUGAAGAAAUAAAGAAACAGAGAAACAACUAUGUGAGACUGACAGGGACACAUUAGAUUAACUUUUCCAUGAGUCUGGAAAAUGAUGCUGACACUGCUUUUCCUAGGAGCACAGAAAGAAACUCCGACCUGAAAAUAGCAGUUCAGUGGGUGCAUCAGCUAGCUGUUUAUGAUUGAGCUAUAUGUGUCAAAUGGCAACAGGUAAAAGCACAGUUUAUUUCUCUGGUGAUGCAAGAACAAUGUUUUCGUAACAGUGGAGCACCCACAGGUCAACACAGCCCUCCUUGAUUUGUGAUCAUUUGUUCUGUCUCUCAUUAAACUCAUUGCCUCUGCAGUCCAUCCCUAUGUAGGACACUUUCUUUUACUUCAAUCUGUUUAGACAACGUGUACAACACAAAAAGUAAAAGGGCUUUCUGAACGAGAGGAAUUGACUGAAAAUGUGUUAUCGUUCCUAUCUGAGCUGUGGUGUGGUUGUUUCAUGCAGAGUGGUCAAGGUCCCCUCUACUGAUAGCAGUAAGCUGACCUUGCUUCUUCAGGGAAACUGCUCCCAGAGAUUUCUAAACACAGAGGAAAAUUAGCAACUUUCUAGUCUAAGGUGACUACCUUGUCUGGAACUUCUGUGACAUCUAAAACCAGACACCGGAGUUUCCCGUGAUUUCAUGUGGAUGUAAAUUUCUCUUCUGCCCCUUUCCCACAGCUCUGAGAACUUACACUUCCCACAUCUGCAGGAGAAGAGUGGGAGACAGAGAGCUGGAACCCUACAUGACCUGAUACAGGGAGCAUUUGAGGGUUUUUAAGCAAAUAGUAACUGAGACUCUUGCAUGGCAUAAACAUACGUAAACUUCCCUCUGAAAUUCCACCCAUAGAUGAAAAUAAUCUUAUCUCCUAAGCAAGACAACCAUGUUGGAAUCCAGCAAAUUUCAGUUAUAUUGAAAUGUAUCUUUCAGAAGCCAUCAUAUCACAAUUUAAGGAUUGAGUGAGGAUGAAUAUUUCCUUUCAGUUGGUGUCUGUACUUGCCUUACUAAAAAGUUGCUACUUCCCAUUUGUAUUUUAGCUUCUGUCUACUGGAUGCUUUUACAACCUGUGUUCAUCUAAAGAAGUUUUAAAGUUACCUUGUUUGUGUACAGGUUCCUACAGGCCUCUUGUUCUGACGGACUGUGUCUACCAGAUAGUGGGGUGGUAGGUGAGUGUAUAGAAGGACAGAGAGGCAGAGCUAGAAAUAACUUAGUACCAGCACACUGAAAGGCCUCCUUCUUCUCUAGCCAGGUUCAUCUGCCUCCCACUCAAUGUCCUUAAGAGAGCCAAAAGUCAUGGACAUGGAUUUCCAGAGGUCGGACCAGGUUGCUCCAAUUCCCUGUCCAUGUAGUGCUGAAGAUAGGCCUGAACCCCAGAAAACUUGGAUCCAGAAGUAAAGUACAGUGCUCAUUAAAAUCUGCUUUGAUUUGGCUGGGGCUUCUCUGUUUUAGUGCUGAUCCAUUUUACCUGCCUUCUGAGUGUGAUAAACUGCAGCAAGAUUUCCUUGCCACCAGCUUGGAACCUAAUAGUUAAGACUGGUUGGAUGACUGAAUAAUUUACUUGAUGAAUUUCAUGCCGUUUUUGAAAAAGUAAUCCCUGAAAGUUGUUUUCACUUUCCAUAUAAUUCUGCAAGAUAAGUGUUAG